rnacentral:tRNA from 1 species
GAGGGUAUAGCUCAGUGGUAGAAUGUGUGCUUAGCAUACACAAGGUCCUAGGUUCAAUCCUUGAUACCUCCA